AUAGAAAAUAAUGUUUGUAGAAUCCUUAAAUUUAGGUAGAAAACCUUUCUCUUCUAAAUUAAAAAAACUCUAAUUCAUAGUCCACUACUUCAUGCUCCAAAAGUGUUGACUUUUUCCCCAAAUUGAGUGCAGUAUCAAGUCUUCAUCACAAUUCCCAAGUACCUUUUCUUCUAUAAAUACAGUUGUAACCCCUCCUCUCUCCCUUGUCACCAAAAUGACUAGCUUCAUUUUUCUCUUUGAUCUUUCUCAUUUGAGUGUCUUUUUCUUCAUAAUCUACCAUUUAUAAACUUUAUCCAUAUUUAUAUAUGUUCUUCUGCAGGGCUUAAUUUGACUUGUAGCAAAUUCUGCAUAGAGUAUGGGAAAAUCUGUUAAGCUCAGGAGGGAUAGCGCCAUGAGAUAUGAUAUACAGAAAUCAAGAUCCUAUUCCUGAUAUGUUGCUGGUCAUCAGAAGUUUUAUUGAACUGAACUAGUUUCAUUGGCUUGCCAAACAUGUUCUUCUUAGUCCUUUAUCUCAGAUUAUACUAAUGUUUUUCUUGUCUAUGGUUUUGUAUUUUAAUUUUCUUCUCUUGACUUCUUUUCGUUGUUAAUUAGUGCUUGAACAUGUUUUCUGCUUUUGUGUUUAUUAUUUAUGAUCUCAUUUCUAAGUUGGUUUUGCUUUCACCAUUUCUUUCUUUCAUGUGCUCCAUAAAUUUUGAUGAUGUAUUCAAGAAUCUAGUUCAUGGUAUCUAAAUUUGGUGUUAUCAAUUGAUUUGUUUCUUCAA